AGAAACAGCUGCUGCAUCCCCAAAGACAUCCUGGUUCUGAUAGCUCUGUUUAACAUCUGGAAGAAAGAGAGUGAACAUUUAAGAAAGAGCCCAUGGGCACCCAGCAUUCAACAGGACUUUUGGCUACCUGGACUGACCUUGCUUGGAGCACAGGAAGACGGUAACAGAGCAGAGCACAGCCCACUGGCAGCCUGCUGGUUCCUUGCCUUCUCUCUCUACCUGUGUCUGGGGAUCACAGCUCCAGCUCUUUCAUCUAUCAAGAGACUCUUACCUGUCUGCCCCUCCCAGGAAAUUGCAGCCUGUUAUUUACAGCCAGCUGUCUGACAGGAAGCCAGGAUCUAUCUUCAGCCAUAGGGCCCCAUCUCUGCUUUGAGCAGCAGCUGCCUACCCUCAGCCCCCCUCCCCCAGUCUGUGCCCUGUAACUCACCAGGUAGCAUUUGAUGUGAAGAUGAAAGGACCAGCACACCUGGGUGUCUGCCCCACUCUUCAAGCUCCACUUCCUCGACAUCAAUCACUUCAACCCUCUCAUGGAUCCAAAUUAAAAUCUGGGCUACCAAGU
rnacentral:lncRNA from 1 species